UACGAAGGGGGCUAGCGUUGCUCGGAAUCACUGGGCGUAAAGGGUGCGUAGGCGGGUCUUUAAGUCAGAGGUGAAAUCCUGGAGCUCAACUCCAGAACUGCCUUUGAUACUGAGGAUCUUGAGUACGGGAGAGGUGAGUGGAACUGCGAGUGUAGAGGUGAAAUUCGUAGAUAUUCGCAAGAACACCAGUGGCGAAGGCGGCUCACUGGCCCGUUACUGACGCUGAGGCACGAAAGCGUGGGGAGCAAAUAGG
rnacentral:rRNA from 1 species